rnacentral:rRNA from 1 species
GGGUCAUGAGGUUGGUCGUGCCACCGGUACGUACUGGUCUCACUGAUUCCUCCUUCCUGAAGAACCGUAAUGCCAUUAAUUUGGUGUUGCGGGGAAACAGGACUGUUACUUUGAAAAAAUAGAGUGUUUAAAGCAAGCUAACGCUUGAAUACAUUAGCAUGGAAUAAUGAAAUAGGACGAUCGAUCCUAUUUUGUUGGUUUCUAGGAUUGACGUA